UUUGGCAUAGCGGCUAAGCGCUUGGCUGCUAACCAAAAGGCUGGUGGUUUGAACCCACCAA
rnacentral:tRNA from 1 species